UACAGAGGUCCCGAGCGUUGUUCGGAUUCAUUGGGCGUAAAGGGUGCGCAGGCGGCGGGGUAAGUCUGAUGUGAAAUCCCGGGGCUCAACUCCGGAUCUGCGGUGGGUACGGGCAGACUAGAGUGAUGUAGGGGAGACUGGAAUUCCUGGUGUAGCGGUGAAAUGCGCAGAUAUCAGGAGGAACACCGAUGGCGAAGGCAGGUCUCUGGGCAUUAACUGACGCUGAGGAGCGAAAGCAUGGGGAGCGAACAGG
rnacentral:rRNA from 1 species